rnacentral:rRNA from 1 species
GAUGAACGCUGGCGGCGUGCUUAACACAUGCAAGUCGAGCGAGAAGUUUUGAAAAGAUUCUUCGGAUGAAAUUUAAAAUGGAAAGCGCGCACGGGUGAGUAACGCGUAGGCAACUGCCCCAUACAAAGGGAUAGCAUUUGGAAACGAAUAUUAAUACCUUAUGAAACUUAACUAGUGCAUGUAGGUAGGUCAAAGAUUUAUCGGUAUGGGAUGGGCCUGCGUCUGAUUAGCUAGUUGGUGAGGUAACGGCUCACCAAGGCGACGAUCAGUAGCCGACCUGAGAGGGUGAACGGCCACAUUGGAACUGAGACACGGUCCAAACUCCUACGGGAGGCAGCAGUGGGGAAUAUUGCACAAUGGGGGAAACCCUGAUGCAGCAACGCCGCGUGAACGAUGAAGGCCUUUGGGUCGUAAAGUUCUGUUCUAGGUGAUGAAAACUGACAGUAACUUAGGAGAAAGCCCCGGCUAA